CCUACGGGGGGCAGCAGUGGGGAAUAUUGCACAAUGGGGGAAACCCUGAUGCAGCGACGCCGCGUGAGUGAAGAAGUAUUUCGGUAUGUAAAGCCCUAUCAGCAGGGAAGAAAAUGACGGUACCUGACUAAGAAGCCCCGGCUAACUACGUGCCAGCAGCCGCGGUAAUACGUAGGGGGCAAGCGUUAUCCGGAUUUACUGGGUGUAAAGGGAGCGUAGACGGCAGAGCAAGUCUGAAGUGAAAGCCCGGGGCCCAACUGCGGGACUGCUUUGGAAACUGCCCGGCUAGAGUGCUGGAGAGGUAAGCGGAAUUCCUAGUGUAGCGGUGAAAUGCGUAGAUAUUAGGAGGAACACCAGUGGCGAAGGCGGCUUACUGGACAGUAACUGACGUUGAGGCUCGAAAGCGUGGGGAGCAAACAGGAUUAGAUACCCCAGUAGUC
rnacentral:rRNA from 1 species